rnacentral:rRNA from 1 species
CCCUUAGAUGUCCGGGGCUGCACGCGCGCUACACUGAAGGAAUCAGCGUGCUAAAACCAUUGUCGAAAGGCAUUGGUAAACCCAUUAAAAUCCCACGUGAUUGGGAUCGGGAAUUGCAAUUAUUUCCCUUGAACGAGGAAUUCCCAGUAAGUGUGGGUCAUAAGCUCGCGUUGAUUACGUCCCUGCCCUUUGUACACACCGCCCGUCGCUGCCCGGGACUGAGCCGUUUCGAGAAAAGCGGGGACUGCUGCUGUCGGGGCUUUCGGGCCUUGGCUUCGGUGGAAACCGCUUUAAUCGCAGUGGCUUGAACCGGGCAAAAGUCGUAACA